rnacentral:rRNA from 1 species
GAUGAACGCUGGCGGCGUGCUUAAUACAUGCAAGUCGAGCGAAGAGACUAUUAGCUUUCUUCUCUGAUGUUAGCUACGUACGUUUGAGUAACACGUGGAUAUCAUGCGUAGAUGACUUGCAUAACUUCGGGAAACCGGAGCUAAUACCGGAUGCUAUAUUGACCUGCAAGGUUCACUAGUCAAGGACGGUUUGGCAGUCAUUUAUAGAUGUGUCCGCGCCGUGUUAGGUAUUUGGUAGUGUAUCGGCUUACCAACGCAACGAUGCGUAGCCGACAUGAGAGCAUGAUCGGCCAGACUGGAACUGAGACACGGCGCAGACUCCUGCGCGAGGACGCAGUAGGGAAUCUUACGCAAUGGGGGAAAGCGUGAUAGAGCAACACGGCGUAAGUGAUGAUGGUGUACGGAUCGUAAAACGAUGUUAUAAGGGAAGAACAAAUGUGCAAGUAACUAUGAACAACUUGACGGUACCUAAUUAGAAAGCCACGGCUAACUACGUG